GGCGCAGGCGGCUAUGUCAGUCCGAAGUGGAAUCCCGGGGCUCAACCCCGGAAUAGCUUUGGAUACUGCCUAGCUUGAGUAUGUGAGAGGAGAGUGGAAUUCCUGGUGUAGCGGUGAAAUGCGUAGAUAUCAGGAGGAACACCCAUGGCGAAAGCAACUCUCUGGCACGUCACUGACGCUGAGGCCCGAAAGCGUGGGGAGCGAACA
rnacentral:rRNA from 1 species